GAUGAACGCUGGCGGCGUGCCUAAUACAUGCAAGUCGAGCGAACGGACGAGAAGCUUGCUUCUCUGAUGUUAGCGGCGGACGGGCGAGUAACACGUGGAUAACCUACCUAUAAGACUGGGAUAACUUCGGGAAACCGGAGCUAAUACCGGAUAAUAUUUUGAACCGCAUGAUUCAAAAGUGAAAGACGGUCUUGCUGUCACUUAUAGAUGGAUCCGCGCUGCAUUAGCUAGUUGGUAAGGUAACGGCUUACCAAGGCAACGAUGCAUAGCCGACCUGAGAGGGUGAUCGGCCACACUGGAACUGAGACACGGUCCAGACUCCUACGGGAGGCAGCAGUAGGGAAUCUUCCGCAAUGGGCGAAAGCCUGACGGAGCAACGCCGCGUGAGUGAUGAAGGUCUUCGGAUCGUAAAACUCUGUUAUUAGGGAAGAACAUAUGUGUAAGUAACUGUGCACAUCUUGACGGUACCUAAUCAGAAAGCCACGGCUAACUACGUG
rnacentral:rRNA from 1 species